rnacentral:rRNA from 1 species
UACGUAGGGUGCAAGCGUUGUCCGGAAUUAUUGGGCGUAAAGAGCUCGUAGGCGGUCUGUCGCGUCGAAUGUGAAACCCGGGGCUCAACUCCGGGCCUGCAUUCGAUACGGGCAGACUAGAGUUCGGUAGGGGAGACUGGAAUUCCUGGUGGUAGCGGUGGAAUGCGCAGAUAUCAGGAGGAACACCGGUGGCGAAGGCGGGUCUCCUGGGAAACAACUGACGCUGGAGGAACGAAAGCGUGGGUAGCAAACAGG